rnacentral:tRNA from 1 species
GGUUAUGGCUCAGUGGUAGAGCACUCGCCUCAUACAUGCAAGGCCCUGAGUUCAAUCCUCAGCACCA